CAGCAGCCGCGGUAAUACCGGCGGCCCGAGUGGCGGUCACUAUUAUUGGGCUUAAAGCGUCCGUAGCCGGGUUGGGAAGUCCUCCGGGAAAUCUGGCCGCUUAACGGUCAGAAUGCCGGAGGAUACUCCCAGCCUAGGGAGCGGGAGAGGCCGAGGGUAUUCCCGGAGUAGGGGUGAAAUCCUAUAAUCCCGGGAGGACCACCUGUGGCGAACGCGCUCGGCUGGAACGCGUCCGACGGUGAGGGACGAAGGCCAGGGGAGCAAACCGGAUUAGAUACCCGGGUAGUCCUGGCUGUAAACGAUGCGGACUUUGUGUCGGACAAGCUAUGAGCUUGUCCGGUGCCGGAGGGAAACCGUUAAGUCCGCCGCCUGGGGAGUACGGCCGCAAGGCUGAAACUUAAAGGAAUUGGCGGG
rnacentral:rRNA from 1 species